rnacentral:lncRNA from 1 species
UAAUGGAAGUGAAGUUUUAAGGACAGUGCAAGAGUAUGUAUGGAUUAUUAACCAGCUGUGGCAUUGUCUUCUUGUUCAUGUGUAAAUUGUAGUUUUCUGGGGCACAAGCCUUGCUCAUCUCUUCUGAAAUACAGCUUGUAACAGAGGCAUUUUUAUCUCCUAUGUGGAUGGGAGGCUGAAGUGUGUGUGCCUGCACUCAUGAGAAUGGUGUUGCCCUGGCAGGAGCUGCAAGCAAGGGAAGUCCAGUAUACACCUUGUGUGCAGUGGGUGCAGAUUGACAAGAGCAUGGAAGAGCGGCCAGUCAAUAAGAAGAAACCGUCAUAUUGAAAAAGCAACAUGAUUUAAUUGUCGUCAUUCAUGGGCAUUAAAAUCCAGGUUGGAACAGAGGACCACAUUGGACCACAUCCACUCUGGGAAACAGGUUUACUCAUGUCCAUGGGAGCAUAUCCACACAAAGCUAUUCACAAAAGCUUACUGGUUGCUGCCUACUUAGAUACAUUCCUCUCUUUGAUAUGGAAGCAAUGGGACGAUACAAAACUUUGUGCAAUACUAAUAUUGGUCCACUGA